rnacentral:rRNA from 1 species
ACCGCAAACCGACACAGGUAGUCAAGAUGAGAAUUCUAAGGUGAGCGAGCGAACUCUCGUUAAGGAACUCGGCAAAAUGACCCCGUAACUUCGGGAGAAGGGGUGCUCUUUAGGGUUAACGCCCAGAAGAGCCGCAGUGAAUAGGCCCAAGCGACUGUUUAUCAAAAACACAGGUCUCUGCUAAACCGUAAGGUGAUGUAUAGGGGCUGACGCCUGCCCGGUGCUGGAAGGUUAAGAGGAGUGGUUAGCUUCUGC